CAAUACUUAGUGUAGCAGGUACAAGUUAUAAAAGUGAUUCAUUACAACUAAGAUAAGGAAGAAAACAGGAAAACAGCACUUGCCCUUCACACACACAGAAACACACAUGCACACACACACAAACACACCCUUGUCACAGCUCAGAAUAACCAAUUCCAUCCAGGGAUCAUAUUAGCGAUAUUGGCACUGUAAUGGUCGUUUUUACAUUUAUUUUCUGUUCCGCAUUCACUUAACAUGUGCGUUAAAAGGAACAAAGCUAGCUGGAGGUAGCAAAGUUUUGAACUUGAAUCAGGGAUUGCUAAGAAAACUUACAACUAAUGACCACAGAAAGUAAGUUCUUUGUCUUCUGUCUGAUACAGCUAGAUGUGAUUGUAGCCGUGGUGCCUGGGCAGAUGGUAAACAAACAUGCUGUCCUCUUAUGACAAUAUGUGCAGAGAAGGCCCCAAACGCUGGGGUGAGAGGAACAACAAACUGACUAACUCACGGCCGAGUUGGAGCCAGAACCAACAACAGCUCGGCUGCCUUCACACUCAUCUGUCAAACACAUGGUGUAUGGCUCCCCUGACAGAAAUGACUCCUAUAAGCUUCCUCAUACUCGCGCAUUCUUGGAAGUCUGAGACUGGAAAUGCCUACCCAGAUAUGUUAAGUCAGUAAAGGAAAACUCAUUUGCAAUGCUGAGAGGAGAAAGAAAAUCAAUGAAUAGGAGAGCAUACACUGUGGGAAGGCUCAGCUGUACUGAGCCAGGCAAAGCAUCCGAUUACCCCACUGCUGUACACAUCAUGACCUGGGAUAAACCCCUGGGCCGUUGGCCUAAGAAAUAUGUUGCUUUUCAUCCUGUAUAACUGCAACUUUGUGCCGGCUCAUAUUAUGUUCUAGAGAGCUCAUGUACACCAUGGUGACCAUAGUUAAUAAUACUGGAUUGUAUGCUUAAAAUUUGCUAAGAGAGUAGAUCUUAAGUCAUCACCAAAAAAAGUAACUGUAAGAUGAUGGAGAUGUGUUAAUUAGCUUGACGGUGGUAAUCACAAUAUAUGUGUAUAUCAAAACAUCACAUUAUACACCUUAAAUGUAUAUAAUAUUUGUCAAUUAUACCUCAGUAAAGCCAAAAAGAAAUAAAUAUAUUGCUUUUCA